rnacentral:lncRNA from 1 species
AAAGAGGCUGCAGAUUCUUGGUGGACAGCUCUCAUAUCCCCUCCAGGGAAAAUGAUGAAAAAUGUCUUCAGAAAAAUAGCUUUAUGAAGGCAAGAGGACUUUUUGCACCUGCAAGACAUGUCUGAAAGCUUCCAUCAGAUUCUUGUAAGUACCUCACUUGGCACAAGAUAGAACAACAUGGCGUUCAAGAAAGUCAACUGCGUUGCCCAAGAGUAAGAGAAGGUAAAAGAAUAAAUGUGUGCCUUUUUCGUGUACAUCCUGUGAGUAGAAUUUUUUGUGGAUUAAAAGACAUUACUUGAAGAAAAAAAAAAAGACAUCAUUUGGAGGACCCUCUGAAGAAGAGCAACUUUUCAGACAGGUAGAGUGUGCCUUGCUCCCAAGGAAAAGAGUUCUUGAAAAAAACAAAUGGGAAACAUGGCUACAAGAAAACUGGGAAGACUGCAAGAAAUUGAUGGCAAAAUAUGGAAAUAAAAAAAUUAAGUUGACUUUUAGGAAUGCAGUUUACAAGAGCAAUGCGACCACUGAGAGUGGUAGCAAUGUGUUUUACACCAAAGUUGACUGAUAUUAAAAGUGAAAAUAAAAUAUUCAGUAUCUUUGAAGCACACCAAAUCAUUUUUAGAAUUUGAACAUUUCAUUUCAGGAUUUGGGGGAUCCUUACCAGGUUGAAAAUUUUAACAGAAUUCUUAGAAGACUAAUUCGAGUUGAAACCCCCUGGUUAGUGGAUAAUUCACUGGUGGACUUAAGUGCCAUAAGAUUGCCAAGGGAUUGCUAGAGAACCCUUUUUACAGGGAGCUGCUAUUUGCUUCAGCAGGCAGAAUGCGUAGGUGGAGUGAGUUUGGUGGCAGUGAGAGGGGCCAACAGAGGUCCUCAGGAGUGAAUUAGAUGAAGGAAAUUGAGCAUCCACAAAAAGGAAAGAGUAUUCUCCUGUUUGCCAAACUUAAAAAUGCUGGAUGGAAUCUUGAAGCUACCAGAAGAUUGCUUAUCACCAGAAACCAAUAUUUUUUCAAAAAUAUGCCUUGUAUCCUAAUGCAGUCUGUAUAGAAAGAAAGCAAUCAUCAUUUUUGCUAAAAGCUAAUAAACACAGGACAUGCAUGAUUAAAUAUUGCAGUUUAUUUUAUAUCUUUUUGCUUUUC